rnacentral:piRNA from 1 species
UAGAAACUGGGCGGAUCUUGUGGUGAUAAU